AUGCGCAACUUCCGCACAUCACUACGCAUGCGUUCUUACCGUCAUAGUAUUACGCAUGCGCAACUCCUGGCGUAUGACUACGCGUGCGCCACUCCCAUCUCAUCACUACGCAUGCGCUGUUCUGUGACUCGCACUACAUGUGCUCCUGUGUUGACAAUACAAUACGCAUGCGCGAGACUUUUUGCGACGCUGAGCCAAUCGGGGGGCGCGUCGGGUGCAGCGUCUGCUGGGAUUAAAAAUGGUCCGUUGAAGGGGUGGGCUCGGCAUAAAACCGUCCGAGGAAAUAGGCAAGGAGCAUCCUGGCUUAGAAAGAGGCAGAGUAUCGGAGGAAGAGUAUCUCGAGUCAAGAAAAACCUAGAGGGCACAAUGCCCAAGACACUAAAAGCAAAAAGAAGCAACAGGAUGAUGACUUCUGAACGUUGUACUGUAUCUCAGUUGACAUACAUGAAUCUAGCAUUCCAAAGCACAGUGUGGAACAUUUUAUAUACAUAACAAUAAAUAACCUAUAUAUAGGUUUUCAUGUACUUCUCUCCACAUGUACACCCAACAAAGAAUAAAGAGAUGCAUUUCCUACAGUCAACUUGGCUGAGAAUUUUUCGCAUUCAGCUCCUCGCUUUCAGAAGCUCAUCCUUGCCAGCACCGGGAUCUUCUUGUACAGGGAGUCAUUCAGUACUUCGACACAGGUCACAUUCCAUAACUUUGAAGGAAAUAAGAGGCAAGAGACUUCUGAAGGAAGAACCCACCAAGAACUUCCACAAGCAAUCCAAGAAGUUCCUAUAAUGCACUGAUAAAAACUUCAUUCUCAAUUUGAUAAAGGAGCCAAAGAGGAGAGAUGCUAAGCUGGACCUCAUUCUCAUCAAAAAGAAAGGGCUGAUGGGGAGUGUGAAGCUCAGGGGCAGCCAUAGCCAUAGCUGCAAUGUCCGUGACAUGGUGAUGUUCAGGAUCCGUAGGACAGCAACAAGGAGACGCAGCAAGUUAACUUUCCUGGACUUCAGGAGAGCAGACUGUCAUGGUUUUAUGGUUUUCCAUCGGUAUUCCACAUCAUAACAUCUGGCAGUGCCCUGGAAGUUAAAGAGUUAAUGCUGCAGUUCUGUGGAUUGUCAAUACUUCCAGUCUCUUGGUCUCAGAAGAGAAGCAUGAACUACAAUUCCCAGAAGACUUCAUUUUUCUGUUUCCAUUUUCCUUUUGGAGGGAAGGACAAAGCUGACUGAGAGUCACAAGGCUACUCUCUUUGCUCCCUGUCUGCUUUGCCUGCAGCAUCAGAGUAAGGAUGUCAGUUUUGGAAACUCUCGUUUUCUUCUCAUUUUACAUGAUUUAUUAGCUUCAAUUCCAAUCAUAUUGUAUUAUAUUUUAUUAUCUCUCAUUCCGCUACUAUAUUUAGUAAACUAAGUUUUUUCCUUUAGCUCGUUGCAGCUGUUUUCCUUGUCUAGACUCAUCUCCCUACCUUUUCCCUUCUCCACCCCCUUCCUGGAACAUAAAUCUGUGGGUCACUUUGCCCCCUUGCCAUGGACGCUCGGUCAAACCAGGCGAAACCAUGACAGAGCUGGUCUUUGCUGGGGUUUAGUUUUAUGCUGGUUGCAGGACCAGGCCCCUGCACUGGCCUCAUAAACUAUAGUUUGCCGCAGCAGCAGCCACUGUGGAUCUGAACAGCUUUCUUCUCAAGAUGAGAAGUGGAUAAUCCAGAUGAUCACUGUCCCUGCCAUCUGAGAACAAGCUGAGGCCAUUUCAAGAGGAGCUUGGGGAAGAUGUCAGCGCCAUGAGCUGCUGUGGGACCUUCACUGCUGCUCUGCUCUUGGAGCUGGAGAUGUCCUGGUAAGGUCUUGUUCUGCAUUGUCCUUUCUGAGCAGGUUGGUGUGCAGGGAGCCAGGCUGCUUUUACUUAUGUAAAGCUCUCUCCUGACAUGGGUAGCUGACAAGGUGAUGUGUCCAUGUGUUCGCUGAAGCCACAUUUUGCAGCUGUGCAUUUGCCAGGAUAUAGUGACAGAAGCUAUGGAUCCUGCUCAGUGUCAGGCUGCCGCUCACAGGGAGGAGGGUACUGUUUAGCAUUGGUAAAUGUAGGGGUGUCUGUCCUCCAACCCCUGAGCUUGCCAGCCUCUGUCUGUCCUCAGGAAUAGCUGUUUUUCUAUGUUCUGCUUGCUCUGCCUCAUGAUCUGCUAUACAAAUCUUGGCUGUGGGCUCUGUUCUCAACAGUCCCUUCUCAAGAGACAUUGUGCUGGGCUAGAAAAAGCAAAAAAAGCAUCAGCAUCAGCAACAAAACACACAGGUUAGACCCACGUGGCCAGGCAGUGAGGAGGGGAAUGUCAUUGCAGUGUUCAGGUGCUCCACCAGCUGGGUCUCAGCCCAAAGGAGGGGUCUUUGGUGCUUGGGACUCUGCUUUCUAAAGCAGGAAAGUGUCCAGAAGUGUGCUAGUAAUGCUUG
ensembl:lncRNA